UACAGAGGGGGCAAGCGUUGUUCGGAAUUACUGGGCGUAAAGGGCGCGUAGGCGGCCUUCUAAGUCGAACGUGAAAUCCCCGGGCUCAACCCGGGAACUGCGUCCGAUACUGGAAGGCUUGAAUCCGGGAGAGGGAUGCGGAAUUCCCAAUGUAGCGGUGAAAUGCGUAGAUAUUGGGAGGAACACCAGUGGCGAAGGCGGCUACCUGGACCGGUUCUGACGCUGAGGCGCGAAAGCGUGGGUAGCAAACAGG
rnacentral:rRNA from 1 species